UUUACCGAUAAAAGAGUUGCUAAGAGGGUUGCCAAUAUGUUAAAUGGUGAACAGAUAGGUAUGUGUUUGCUCUUUGGUCUUGGUUUUUGAAUGGAAAUCAAUCAUCUUGUCUCCUAUUUGAUUAUCAAUAUAUUAGCUGCAUUGGUUGUUAUAUAAUCUUGUUUGAAAGUAUAGUAUGGUGUUUACUUGUGGUAGCCGGGUUAUGCUCUAGUGGGGGGCUGUACUUGUUCUUCCUUAUUGUCUUUUAAUGGAAAUCACAAUGUUGUUCUAUUGUCAAUUCUAGAGUUAUUUUAUUCCUUUAAUUUUGUGAAAGAGUGAUAGGUAACUGAAUCCCCUCGGUUAGGUUAGUUAGAAGCAGGGAAGUAGAAGAACAAGAACCCUGAUAUUAUUCACAAUAGAAAUGUACAAGAUUGUUGUGAUAUUCGAGAGUCUCGGCCACUCUCCCUAAGUCCCAACCCAAAUGAUCCCUGAAGAUGAUUAAUGCUCUCUAACUCACUCUUAUUCAUAGACUAACCCUCAACCCCCUAACUAGUUAACCUGGUGUUCUCUUAUCUGAAUGCUAAUUACUGAAUGUUUCUCCAUUAAUGUUUCAGAAGCUCUCGUGUAAGGGUCACCCUUUAGAGUGAUAGGUUUGUUCAUCUUUUCAAUUGUUGUGAUAGGGUUUCUGUAGUUCCUUUCACAUUGAAGACACAAUCUCAAGAUUUCUAUAAUUAGGUGUGACGCGUUGGUGUUUUUGCAGUUUUGCUAAAAACUCCAUCCAUAGCUCAUUGGUUCUGACUAAUCAUUCGGGCAAGUGAUCCAAACUUUUUCCGUUCCUCUCUGGGUGGAUGCUUUCUUGAAGAUCGAGAAUCAUUUGAUGAUGUUGGUGACUUGUGUAUGGAUGAAGAAGAGGAACAACUUAUAAGCAGCUAACGAGACUAAUGCUGCAGUCAGCAGUGGUCACUUGAUGUAAUCUUCAUUUGCAGGCAUAAACCAGAAAUUCAUUUUAGAUUGGAUUGUUGUGCUAUGAGUAGCGGUCAAAGAGAGGAACAUAUCAGAGACUCAGUCCAGCUUCCGGUGAAAACUCGGUUAAAAAAGUGCAGCAAGCAAGGUUGUCAAUAAGGCAAGAUUAGGUCACUUCAGAUUAUGCCAAGGAAAAAUUACAAGAAAGAUUAGCCAAGAUUUCUGGGGGUGUUGCAGUGCUUAAGGUAUGGAUAUUUAAGUUGACCUUGCUUGCUUAUGGGUUAGUUACUUUUCUGUAUUCCAUAUUUCUUUUUUCUGUACUUUACAAUUUUGUACUUUACAAUAAAAUACAAAAUAGUUUGUAAUUUUAUGAUUUAGAGAUAGGUGAAGUUAAGGACGUGGUUGAUAUGCUUUAGAAAUUGUUGAUUUUAUGGCUG